AGAGUUUGAUCAUGGCUCAGGAUGAACGCUGGCGGCGUGCUUAACACAUGCAAGUCGAACGAAGCAUUUAAACCGGACUUCUUCGGAGGGAAGGCUUUUAUGACUGAGUGGCGGACGGGUGAGUAACGCGUGAGUAACCUGCCCCACACAGGGGGACAACAGCCGGAAACGGCUGCUAAUACCGCGUAAGCGCACAGCACCGCAUGGUGCAGUGUGAAAAGCUUCGGCGGUGUGGGAUGGACUCGUGUCUGAUUGGCAGUUGGCGGGAUAGCGGCCCACCAAACCGACGAUCAGUAGCCGGCCUGAGAGGGUGAACGGCCACAUUGGGACUGAGACACGGCCCAGACUCCUACGGGAGGCAGCAGUGGGGAAUAUUGCACAAUGGGGGGAACCCUGAUGCAGCGACGCCGCGUGAAGGAAGAAGUAUUUCGGUAUGUAAACUUCUAUCAGCAGGGAAGAAGAUGACGGUACCUGACUAAGAAGCCCCGGCUAACUACGUGCCAGCAGCCGCGGUAAUACGUAGGGGCAAGCGUUAUCCGGAAUUACUGGGUGUAAAGGGAGCGUAGGCGGCGUUGUAAGUCAGAUGUGAAAUACCGGGGCCCAACCCCGGGAUUGCAUUUGAAACUGUGACGCUUGAGUACCGGAGAGGUAAGCGGAAUUCCUAGUGUAGCGGUGAAAUGCGUAGAUAUUAGGAGGAACACCAGUGGCGAAGGCGGCUUACUGGACGGAGACUGACGCUGAGGCUCGAAAGCGUGGGGAGCAAACAGGAUUAGGUACCCUGGUAGUCCACGCCGUAACGA
rnacentral:rRNA from 1 species